ensembl:snRNA U2 U2 spliceosomal RNA
AUCGCUUCUCGGCCUUUUGGCUAAGAUCAAGUGUAGUAUCUGUUCUUAUCAGUUUAAUAUCUGAUACGUCCCUCGAUGAGAGGACUUUAUAUUAAACGGAUUUUGGGGUUCGGAGUUGGACACGGGAGUUGACCUCCAUCCGAUACGCGCAGCAUCGUACCGGUAUGGCAGUGCUAUCGGACGGUUGCCACAGCC